rnacentral:rRNA from 1 species
CCCUUAGAUGUUCUGGGCAGCACGCGCGCUACAAUGGUCUUCGCAAACGGAUGCAUUCUCGAAGGAGAAUGCCAAUCUUGGAAUCUAUGCCUUGGUCGGGACAGUUGCUUGCAAUUUUUCGACUCGAACCAGGAAUUCCUUGUAAUCGUGAUUCAUCACAUCACGAUGAAUACGUCCCUGCCCUUUGUACACACCGCCCGUCGCUCCUACCGAUCAAAGAGUUAGGUGAAUUGUUUUGAUCGAUAAGAUUUGACUAUGGUCAACUCUCGUUGUGAAAUUCUGUGAAUCUGACUGUUUAGAGGAAGGAAAAGUCGGAACA